UAUGUCUUUAGGACGACACAUUACGUAGCAAAGUAACUAUUAAAUAUUUUUAUAGGGGUGAUAGGCCUGUCAAAUUCGCGGAUAACUUGAUACUGAGUAAAAAUAUUAAGUAUUAAACUACACCUGAAAAGUUAAGCUUUGAGGUAUGAAUUAAUAAAGAAACAUUUAAACACUAUAGUUUAAUCGCUAAUUUAUACUAUUUUAAGUAUUAUUUUCUUGUUGUUAUUUUAACGACGCGGUUAUGAUUGUUUAGGAUUAUCAUUAAUAAUGUUGGUAUAAGUAGUGCUUUCAAAUAAAUAAAAUGAACUCGGCAAACCAUUUUUUCAACUGUUUAUCAAAAACAUAACUAUAUGUUAUUAUAUAUAGCUAUUCCUGCCCAAUGAUUUUUAAAUAGCCGCAGUACCCUGACUGUGCAAAGGUAGCAUAAUCAGUUGGCUUUUAAUUGGGGUCUUGCAUGAACGGAUUUCUGGAAAAUAGCUGUAUCUUAUUUAUUUUUUCGAAACUAAUUUGUAAGUGAAAAUACUUACAUCUUUAGAGAGGACGAGAAGACCCUAGAAAUUUUUUUUUAUUUUGUUGGGGCGACAGAAUUACAAGUAAACUAAUUUGCGUAAACGUGGCGUUAUUACAGUCCGAUUAAAUUACUCUAGGGAUAACAGCAUAAUUUAAUUAGUUUGUGACCUCGAUGUUGGACUAGGACAUUAAUGGUUUAGAAGACCUUUAAUAGUGCUCUGUUCGAGCU
rnacentral:rRNA from 1 species